GAUGAACGCUGGCGGCGUGCCUAAUACAUGCAAGUCGAACGAAACUUCUUUAUCACCGAGUGCUUGCACUCACCGAUAAAGAGUUGAGUGGCGAACGGGUGAGUAACACGUGGGCAACCUGCCCAAAAGAGGGGGAUAACACUUGGAAACAGGUGCUAAUACCGCAUAACCAUAGUUACCGCAUGGUAACUAUGUAAAAGGUGGCUAUACUACCGCUUUUGGAUGGGCCCGCGGCGCAUUAGCUAGUUGGUAGGGUAAAGGCUUACCAAGGCAAUGAUGCGUAGCCGAAUUGAGAGGUUGAUCGGCCACAUUGGGACUGGGACACGGCCCAAACUCCUACGGGAGGCAGCAGUAGGGAAUCUUCCACAAUGGGCGAAAGCCUGAUGGAGCAACGCCGCGUGGGUGAAGAAGGUCUUCGGAUCGUAAAACCCUGUUGUUAGAGAAGAAAGUGCGUGAGAGUAACUGUUCACGUUUCGACGGUAUCUAACCGGAAAGCCACGGCUAACUACGUG
rnacentral:rRNA from 1 species